rnacentral:lncRNA from 1 species
GACUGUAUAAAGCUGUAAAUAUGGUUAUAAUAAACUGCAUGUUUCUGUGUGUGUGUUUUUUCUGCAGUCUGAGGUGGAGAGAGCACGUUUCUGUGGAGACUUGUUGAGGACUGUAAACACUGAUACAGCAUACAAAGCUCAGCUCAGAGUUUUCAUCAGUAAAGGCAGUUCUGUCUUACAGCAGCUCUACAGGAGAGAGGAAAACACGGGUCCACACUGUUACUUUGGCCAGCUCCCAGAACCUGCUGGACACGUUCCGAACCAGCCAAGCUGAGACACUGCUUACUUUCUACUGCAAAAAGAGUAAGCUAAAGCUAAAACCUUAACACAUCUACUCUUAUAUCAAAAUAAUUAAACAACGUGUAUAGAAUUAGGAUGCAGCUUUACCUAUCCUUGGCACUCCCCCAGUAUUGGGACACCUGCUUUUUUAUUGGUUCUUCUAAAAUCAGGCAUGUUAAAUAAAGAGUUUUGCUUGCUUUUGUUGGAGUAACUC